ACUUACCAAGUAGCUUUUGCACAAAGAUAUCACAAGGCAAAGAGCUGCAAAAAAAAAUGUCUGCUCUCAUUUCAGAUGGAUGACAUGUAAAUCAGAAAGAAGGGAAUACUACAUUGCUGGGCAGAUGACAAGAUGAACAAGUUAUAAAAAACAGCUAUUGAAAUCAUUGAUUUGGAAGAUGAUUUAGCUUUGCUUUUACAUUAGAAACUUUGCUAAGAUCCAACAUUGGUGAGAAGGUGGAGGAGAGCAAGUCUGAGUGUGAAGCCUAUGUCAUCAGUUGAUGGAGAACAAUAAGAUGAAAAAAGUGUGGCACA